rnacentral:rRNA from 1 species
CAGCCGCCACGGUAAUACGGAGGGGGCUAGCGUUGUUCGGAAUUACUGGGCGUAAAGCGCACGUAGGCGGUUAUUCAAGUCAGAGGUGAAAGCCCGGGGCUCAACCCCGGAACUGCCUUUGAAACUAGAUGACUGGAAUCUUGGAGAGGUCAGUGGAAUUCCGAGUGUAGAGGUGAAAUUCGUAGAUAUUCGGAAGAACACCAGUGGCGAAGGCGACUGACUGGACAAGUAUUGACGCUGAGGUGCGAAAGCGUGGGGAGCAAACAGGAUUAGAUACCCCCUAGUCCCUGUCUCUUAUACA